GAACGAGUUCUGAUUAUUGAAAGGUGCUUGCAUCUUGAUUUAAUUUUGAACGAGUGGCGGACGGGUGAGUAACACGUGGGUAACCUGCCCUUAAGUGGGGGAUAACAUUUGGAAACAGAUGCUAAUACCGCAUAAAUCCAAGAACCGCAUGGUUCUUGGCUGAAAGAUGGCGUAAGCUAUCGCUUUUGGAUGGACCCGCGGCGUAUUAGCUAGUUGGUGAGGUAACGGCUCACCAAGGCAAUGAUACGUAGCCGAACUGAGAGGUUGAUCGGCCACAUUGGGACUGAGACACGGCCCAAACUCCUACGGGAGGCAGCAGUAGGGAAUCUUCCACAAUGGACGCAAGUCUGAUGGAGCAACGCCGCGUGAGUGAAGAAGGCUUUCGGGUCGUAAAACUCUGUUGUUGGAGAAGAAUGGUCGGCAGAGUAACUGUUGUCGGCGUGACGGUAUCCAACCAGAAAGCCACGGCUAACUACGUGCCAGCAGCCGCGGUAAUACGUAGGUGGCAAGCGUUAUCCGGAUUUAUUGGGCGUAAAGCGAGCGCAGGCGGUUUUUUAAGUCUGAUGUGAAAGCCCUCGGCUUAACCGAGGAAGUGCAUCGGAAACUGGGAAACUUGAGUGCAGAAGAGGACAGUGGAACUCCAUGUGUAGCGGUGAAAUGCGUAGAUAUAUGGAAGAACACCAGUGGCGAAGGCGGCUGUCUGGUCUGUAACUGACGCUGAGGCUCGAAAGCAUGGGUAGCGAACAGGAUUAGAUACCCUGGUAGUCCAUGCCGUAAACGAUGAAUGCUAGGUGUUGGAGGGUUUCCGCCCUUCAGUGCCGCAGCUAACGCAUUAAGCAUUCCGCCUGGGGAGUACGACCGCAAGGUUGAAAC
rnacentral:rRNA from 2 species